rnacentral:rRNA from 1 species
AUAAUAAUUAGUCUUUUAAUUGAAGGCUGGUAUGAAUGAUUGAACGAGAUAAAGACUGUCUCAAUUAAAUUAAAGUUUAAAUUUAAUUUUUAAGUUAAAAAGCUUAAAUAUUUUUAAAGGACGAGAAGACCCUAUAGAACUUUAUAAUUUAAUUUUAUUAUUUUUAAAUUUUAAAUUCUUAAUUAUUAGAUUAUUUUGUUGGGGCGACAGGAAAAUUUAUUAAACUUUUUUAAUUUUUUAACAUUAAUAAAUGAAUUAUUGAUCCUAGUUUUUAGAUUAUUAGAUUAAGUUACCUUAGGGAUAACAGCGUUAUUUUUUUUUAGAGUUCAUAUUAAUAAAAAAGAUUAC